rnacentral:lncRNA from 1 species
GAGAUAACUCUUUUAGCACAAAAUUUAUACUGGGCUAAUAGGGAAAUUUUUUAUUUUUACUUGUGGCAAGAAAACAAGUUCGGCGACACCAUGUUUUCUUUUUAUUUUCUUAAAACAUACAUUUUUUGUAUUAUAAAACCUAUCUUCUCACAAUUUUUUUCAAAAUUCUAUCUCAUAGAUUUUUUUUUAUUCACUGUUAUGUGUUUUUUCAUGAACAAACUAACCAAAUUUAGGCAAUUUUCAACGACUCAUAUCUUGAAAAAUAGCACGGUGAC